GAUGAACGCUAGCGGCAGGCUUAAUACAUGCAAGUCGAGGGGCAGCAUGAAUGUAGCAAUACAUUUGAUGGCGACCGGCAAACGGGUGCGGAACACGUACACAACCUUCCUAUAAGUGGGGAAUAGCCCAGAGAAAUUUGGAUUAAUACCCCGUAAUAUAAUGAUGUGGCAUCACAUUAUUAUUAUAGCUUCGGCGCUUAUUGAUGGGUGUGCGGCUGAUUAGAUAGUUGGCGGGGUAACGGCCCACCAAGUCUACGAUCAGUAGCUGAUGUGAGAGCAUGAUCAGCCACACGGGCACUGAGACACGGGCCCGACUCCUACGGGAGGCAGCAGUAAGGAAUAUUGGUCAAUGGACGCAAGUCUGAACCAGCCAUGCCGCGUGAAGGAUUAAGGUCCUCUGGAUUGUAAACUUCUUUUAUCUGGGACGAAAAAAGGCUAUUCUUAGUCACUUGACGGUACCAGAUGAAUAAGCACCGGCUAACUCCGUGCCAGCCGCCGCAGUAAAAC
rnacentral:rRNA from 1 species